GGUCCUGAUCUUAAUCUGCANAGGAUGCUUUGGCGAAGCGCCUUCCGAGUUCCUGGACGGGACGCCGUACAGGGUGAGAGCCCCGUACGGUUGGUCGCCGACCUCUGUAAAGCUCCCUCGAAGAGUCGAGUAGUUUGGGAAUGCUGCUCUAAACGGGAGGUAAACCCCUUCUAAAGCUAAAUACUGGCCAGAGACCGAUAGCGCACAAGUAGAGUGAUCGAAAGAUGAAAAGCACUUUGAAAAGAGAGUUAAACAGCACGUGAAAUUGUUGAAAGGGAAGCGCUUGUGACCAGACUUGCGUCCGGCAGCUUACCCGCCCCUCGGGGCGGUGCACUCUUGCCGGCUCAGCCAGCAUCAGUUCACGGUUGGGGAGAAAGGCGGCGGGAACGUGGCUUCUCGGANUGGUAUAGCCCACCGCUACGCCCUUCUGUGGACUGAAGUUCGCGCUAAGGAUGCUGGCGUAAUGGUCACUUACGACCCGUCUUGGAACACGGACCAAGGAGUCGUCCUAGCAUGCGAAUGUUCCGGUGCCAAACCCUACCCGUAAUGAAAGUAAACCGAGGUNAGAGCUUUCGCGCAUCAUUGACCGAUCCUGAUGUCUUCGGAUGGAUUUGAAUNAAAACAUCUUGGCCGGACCCCAAGAAGAUUAACCUUCCUGGAUNGGCNAAACCCAGGAAACUUUGUGGAGGUUCCAACGGUUCUCACUGCAAAUUGAUGGUCAAAUUUCCCUGGGGCCAAAGA
rnacentral:rRNA from 1 species